UCUGGUUGAUCCUGCCAGUAGUCAUAUGCUUGUCUCAAAGACUAAGCCAUGCAUGUCUAAGUAUAAACAAUUAUACAGUGAAACUGCGAACGGCUCAUUAAAUCAGUUAUCGUUUAUUUGAUAGUUUUCUACAUGGAUAACCGUGAUAACUUCAGAACUAAUACAUGACAGCCUUCUGGCGUAUAUAUUAGAUACAAACCAACAGUAUGGUGAUUCAUAAUAUCUUGUCGAACCGAUCUUCGGUGUAUCAUUCAAAUUUCUGCCCUAUCAACUGUCGAUGGUAGGAUCGUGGCCUACCAUGGUAACAACGGGUAACGGGGAAUCAGGGUUCUAUUCCGGAGAGGGAGCCUGAGAAACGGCUACCACAUCCAAGGAAGGCAGCAGGCGCGCAAAUUACCCAAUCCUGACACAGGGAGGUAGUGACAAUAUAUAACGAUCCGGGGCUCUUUGAGUUUCGGAAUUGGAAUGAGUACAAUUUAAACACCUUAACGAGGAACAAUUGGAGGGCAAGUCUGGUGCCAGCAGCCGCGGUAAUUCCAGCUCCAAUAGCGUAUAUUAAUGUUGUUGCAGUUAAAAAGCUCGUAGUUGAAAUUGGGCGGGCUAUUAGUUUAGGCCGCUUCAGGAAGAACUUCUUCCAGUUACUUUGAAAAAAUUAGAGUGUUCAACGCAGGUUUCGCCUGAAUAUAUUAGCAUGGAAUAACAUAACACGACGAGGGUCCAUUUUGUUGGCUUGCAAACCCACGUAAUGAUUAAUAGGGACAGUCGGGGGCGUCAGUAUUGUGUUGUCAGAGGUGAAAUUCUUGGAUUUACACAAGACUAACUACUGCGAAGGCAUUCGCCAAGGAUGUAUUCAUUAAUCAAGAACGAAAGUUAGGGGAUCAAAGAUGAUCAGAUACCGUCGUAGUCUUAACCGUAAACUAUGCCGACUGAGAAUGGGUACCGCUUAUACGGUAUCCGCGCUCUACGAGAAAUCAAAGUGAUCAGGUUCUGGGGGGAGUAUGGUCGCAAGGCUGAAACUUAAAGGAAUUGACGGAAGGGCACCACCAGGAGUGGAGCCUGCGGCUUAAUUUGACUCAACACGGGGAAACUCACCAGGUCCAGACACAAUAAGGAUUGACAGAUUGAUAGCUCUUUCUUGAUUUUGUGGGUGGUGGUGCAUGGCCGUUCUUAGUUGGUGGAGUGAUUUGUCUGCUUAAUUGCGAUAACGAACGAGACCUUGACCUACUAAAUAGCUCUACUUGCGAUUGCAGGUAGCUAGCUUCUU
rnacentral:rRNA from 1 species